rnacentral:rRNA from 1 species
UUUAUGGAGAGUUUGAUCCUGGCUCAGGAUGAACGCUGGCGGCGUGCCUAAUACAUGCAAGUCGAGCGAACAGAUAAGGAGCUUGCUCCUUUGACGUUAGCGGCGGACGGGUGAGUAACACGUGGGUAACCUACCUAUAAGACUGGAAUAACUCCGGGAAACCGGGGCUAAUGCCGGAUAACAUGUUGAACCGCAUGGUUCUACAGUGAAAGA